CAGAGGAAAUUCGAUGAUCACCUGUCCAAUUUAGGGAUAGAGUUUAUGAUUCAGCAAAGAUGGACUCUAGAAACCUUCACGUUUCUCAUACACUAUAGGUUAAUAUAAUCAUAGCAAAAUUUUGAAUCACUAUAUCAUAUGUUAAACAGGUUUGUGGAACCACAAAAGUUAUUGAGUAACAACAUAGCCCUUUUGAAUUACUCUGCCUGAAAAUUGAGGAAAUUUUAUUACAUAAUUUGUCUG
rnacentral:misc_RNA from 1 species